rnacentral:rRNA from 1 species
AACGAACGCUGGCGGCAGGCCUAACACAUGCAAGUCGAACGGAACCUGCGGGUCUGGUGGCGCACGGGGGCGUAACGGGUGGGAACCUGCCCUGAAAUUCGGCAGAACGCCCCGAAUGAGGUGCGAAUACCGGAGAAUGUCUUCCAACCAACGAUUUAUCGACAGUGGAUGGGCUCAGGUUCGAUUGGCUACAGGGGGGGGUAAGGGCCUACAAAGGGGAGGAUCGGUAACUGGUCUGAGAGGAUGAGCAGCCACACUGGAACUGAGAGACGGUCCAGACUCCUAGGGGAGGCACCAGUGGGGAAUAUUGGACGAGGGGCGAAGGGCUGAUCCAGCCAUGCCGCGGGAGUGAAGAAGGUCUUCGGAUUGUAAAGCACUUUAAGUUGGGAGGAUGGGCAGUAAGUUUAUACCGGGCUGUUUUGACGUUACCAACAGAAUAAGCACCGGCUAACUUCGUG